rnacentral:lncRNA from 1 species
UGCAGUUUGCUCAUAUUGACAGAAUCAGAGUCAACACAGCAGGUGGUUUAAAUCUAUGUGUCAAAUACAGAAGCUGAGCAGAGAAAUAAACUCAUAAGACAAAAAUCAUGAAGUGGGUCAUGAUCCUGGGGUCCUGAGACAGAGUCCUGCAUCAAGCUCCCUGCACAGUGAGGGGUCUGCUUCUCUCUCCCCCUCCCUCCCCUCACCCAUGUUCUCUUGCUCAC